GGCGAACGCUGGCGGCGUGCUUAACACAUGCAAGUCGAACGGAAAGGCCCUGCUUUUGUGGGGCGCUCGAGUGGCGAACGGGUGAGUAACACGUGAGUAACCUGCCCUUGACUUUGGGAUAACUUCAGGAAACUGGGGCUAAUACCGGAUAGGAGCUCCUGCUGCAUGGUGGGGGUUGGAAAGUUUCGGCGGUUGGGGAUGGACUCGCGGCUUAUCAGCUUGUUGGUGGGGUAGUGGCUUACCAAGGCUUUGACGGGUAGCCGGCCUGAGAGGGUGACCGGCCACAUUGGGACUGAGAUACGGCCCAGACUCCUACGGGAGGCAGCAGUGGGGAAUAUUGCACAAUGGGCGGAAGCCUGAUGCAGCAACGCCGCGUGCGGGAUGACGGCCUUCGGGUUGUAAACCGCUUUCGCCUGUGACGAAGCGUGAGUGACGGUAAUGGGUAAAGAAGCACCGGCUAACUACGUG
rnacentral:rRNA from 1 species